GGAAAUGGGAGAAAAUGCGAUUGUCGCGAGAGCUCAAUUCGGUUUUCAACUGGAUCUACAAUACGGCCAGUAUAGAGCUUAUUAGCUUAUUGAUAGCGUAAUGAACGCAUGUACAGCUAAUGUAAAUGCUUACGGUUACAUAUUCUUUGUUAAACAAAAAUAAUUGGGCAUUUUGAAAUGUACGGUUUGUUUUUAGUGUCAGCAGUCGUCGGAAUUUAGGCAUCUUUUUUUCUAAAGUUUUCGGAAAAAAAACCUGUGCGCACCAUCGCGAUUUUUCGUAGGAUAGUUGUCAUUCAUAAAGGUAUUACAGGACAUAAUAGCCAUUAACACCCGGUGGGAAGGAGGAGCAACUUAUCCUAUCAGCGGUUGAAAAAAAAACUCACCUGCGGCCGAGAACUUAUAAGCAUUGUCAACAUAGUCUGAGUCAACGAUGCCUAACAAAAUAACAUUUCCAAACAGAUCGGCAGUUGGUUCCCCUUUAUUAUAAAACGUAAGCGGAAGUUGAAAUACUGUGUACUGUAUCGGUAUAAAUAUUCCUGUCCAAACAUAUCUGGUAAAAAUAAAAUUAUGAAUCAUUAAACCCAAA